GACGAACGCUGGCGGUAUGCUUAACACAUGCAAGUCGAACGAGAAGUUUUUUAUUGAACCUUCGGGGGAUAUAAGAGACAGACAGUGGCGAACGGGUGAGUAACGCGUGGGCAACCUACCUAUCGGAGCGGGAUAGCCUCGAGAAAUCGGGAGUAAAACCGCAUAACACGGAUAUAUCGCAUGAUGAAUCCGUCAAAACUCCGGUGCCGAUAGAUGGGCCCGCGUCUGAUUAGCUAGUUGGUAAGGUAAGGGCUUACCAAGGCAACGAUCAGUAGCCGGUGUGAGAGGGCGAACGGCCACACUGGAACUGAGACACGGUCCAGACUCCUACGGGAGGCAGCAGUGGGGAAUAUUGCGCAAUGGGGGCAACCCUGACGCAGCAAUACCGCGUGAGUGAAGAAGGUUUUCGGAUCGUAAAGCUCUGUUAUUGGGAAGAAGC
rnacentral:rRNA from 1 species